rnacentral:rRNA from 1 species
UACGUAGGGGGCAAGCGUUGUCCGGAAUGACUGGGCGUAAAGGGAGUGUAGGCGGCUCAUCAAGUUAGAUGUGAAAUCCCGCGACUUAACCGCGGAACUGCAUCUAAAACUGGUAAGCUGGAGUGCAGGAGAGGUGAGUGGAAUUCCUAGUGUAGCGGUGAAAUGCGUGGAUAUUAGGAGGAACACCAGUGGCGAAGGCGGCCUGCUGGGCUUUUACUGACGCUGAGGCUCGAAAGUGUGGGGAGCAAACAGG